CACACAGCCCUCACCUUCACUCUCCCCUCUCAGCCGUUCCUCUGGACAACCAUCAACCCGGAACUUUCCCUCUCAGCUGCAGGAGCAAGGGACGAACCGAACGGAGACCAUAGCAGCCUCCUCUGCAAUCUUCUUCCUUCACCGGCCAUCGCUGCUCUCUUCUCUUUCCCUCUCUCCCACCAAGACGACCCAGCAGCAGCUCCUCCACCACGCACGGCUGCACCCGCAGCUUCGGCCUCCAGCCUUGAGCCACUCCUCACUCUACAGCAGGUCGGCCACAGAAGAAGAAGGAAGAACAACAGCUGGAAAAUAAAACGGAAGCAGACCCGAACGGUGGAGAAAAUAAAACAGAUCUGGAAAACUAAGAAAAAUUAAAAUCGACUGCUGUGUUGUUCUUUGAUUGAUCUGCAGGUUGGCGCCGACGAGGAAAGAAGGAGGGAGGAGGUCGUUGCAGACCCCCCUGUUUUCACCUUGUUUUCACGGUGGCGCGUGGAUCCACGCGCCGCCAGUGGCGGGGGUGCGUGAGAUCCACGCGCCACCACUGCCACUGCUGUCCCAACGGCUUCGCAACACUGUUCCGGCGAGUUAGAGGUUUCCAGCACUGUUCCGGAAUGUUUUUGUUCAUUUUGUAAUUUCCAAAUUGUUUUAAUGUAAUAUUUUAUUUAGUUUUGAGUUUUUUGUAAUUUGUAUUUUGUAAAUAUGGAUGUAAAAGAAAAGAAAAGAAAAAGAAAAGAAAAAGAAAAGAAAGAAACAAAAAUAAAAUAGUGAAAGUGUAUGUGUGUGCUUGUAUUUGUUUUAUUUUUUGUACAUAUUUUUUAAUGAUAAAAUUGCAAAUAUAUUAAAGAAGAAUUUAAUAUUUUGAUCGGAUCACGGUUAAGAAUUAUUAACUUAUACGUAAGUGAUAUUUCUAAUUUCCGAAGAAAAGACAAUUAUUAAAACUUCUUUAACACGUCAAAGCCACGAAGCAGCUUACCUCAGGUAGGGUGCGUUAGGGGUGCUAAUACCUUCCCUAACCACAACCAGUCCCUUACCCGUAAAUCUCUAACAAGACCACUACAUCCGGUUUCCUAGUAGCCCGAAAUCAGUUACUAGGUGGCGACUCCAACGAACAAAUUCAAGCAAACAACGAGAUGAAAAAUCGUCAGCCGAUGCUGCGCGUUGAUUUUUUUUUUGGGGUGCGAUAGAAUGGCGACUCCACUGGGGAAGGUAUUUUUUCGAGUAUUGGACUAAGCUUUGUGUAUUUGAUGUGCUUAAGUUUUUGCAUUUUUAUCUUUUUGUUAAUAUUUAUUUCCAUGCAUUUUAUAGAAUUGUCUCAUGCAUCACUUGAAUUUAAUUUUUAAAAGCACACACAAGCUUCUAGGUUAGGUGGGGAACUAGCGAUCUGCCCUAAGACUAUUGGUCAGGGUUCAGAUGCGUGAAAAACCCAACUCAUAUCUGAGUGCUUGCUUGGUAAUGGUGGGUAUACGUGCCUUAACCAUUCCUUGCAACGCCCCCAUACUGUCUUUACGAAGAACGUCACUAGGCAGAUAUGAGACCCUUUUGAGACCAGAUAGAAAACCUACCCAUGUUCACAUAAUGAAUAGAACUUGUCCUGAGGUUGUAUGUGCUAUAGUUUUUUGCAUAAGGGCAAACCCUUCUUGAAGCAUCUUGAACUCAUGACUUGUGGGUGACACAUUGGCCGUUGCUCCGAAAAUUUUCAUUGUAGAGUUUGGGCAAAAAUCACGAUUCUUGUUCAUCAUACAAGAGUUACGACCAUAUUGUCACCUCUCGAAGGGUGAGUUCAUCAUAUAGAUUACAUGUUCAUACAUUUAUCAUGCAUGUACCUGGCUGAAAGGUAGGUCCCCCACACAAGCUGUGCUGCACGUGAUUGAAGAAAGAUGAGGGAAGUGAACAAAGGAGUCAGAUAAAGACUCAUUAUCAGAUUAAGGUUGAGAGCAUCAAAGGUGAAGUAGUUGGACUCAGAUUUGCUCGAACAAGUGUUGCAUCAAAUGGAAAGAAGUGUCUACAGUCUUCUGGGAACACUGCUUGUUCACGUCCAAUUGAAGCUGUAUCUCUCCUUUUCGUCAUGAACAAAGCAACAAGCCUUCAGUCAUCAACUAAUGACAACUCUGAUUCUUGUCCAGUUGCACUGUUAAGUGUUCAUCGCCUCAACAUCAUCUAAUGGAACCAAACGACUGCUAGCCUCAUCUUCAUGGUGCAUUAGUUUGCUUUGAAGUUACUCCUAAUUACGAGCUCAAUUCCAGUUCAACAGCACAAGAUGGUCUGAAAAAGCCAUGAUUGAACACCGAACUUCAAUGUGGCAGAGCUCUCUCUACAAAAAUAAUUUAUGGCUCUGCAAAUUGGGAAUGCAAGAGGGGAUUUAUAAGUUGCAUAUGCUACAAAUAUUUCUCUCAUCAGUUUCAGCACGAAGACCUAGUAGGUUGAAGAGCCAGACCUGGUCUAAAAAUAUGAGCAGACAUCAAACUUCAACGUAGCAGAGCACUCAGCAGGAAUCUGUUUGUGGAUCCGCAAGUGGGAAAUCCAAGAAGGAAUACAGUAGUUUCAGUCAUCUAUGAUUUUCCUCCAACAGUGUCAGUAUUAAAAUGCAAAAGUAGAGAGAAGAGACAUGCCUAGACUGAAAAACAUGAAGAAUACUGAAACUUCAACAGAGCAGGACUUCUUCUAUAGGUGUUUGUUUGCUGCACUGUCAGUGAGAAAUCGAAGAGGGGACAAAGGAGUUUUAGAUUCAUCAGGUGCUCUUCCAAUAGAGAUAAUGUGUGAUUCCACACGUCGGUAGCGGCGAUACUACGAGUUUCUAGGCGCUGCCAAGAUUUCCAAGCUAUUGGAAAGUUUUCUAACAAUCCUCAACCAACCACAACAACAUUGAAUGAUUGAAGUUGUGUGGAUUCGCCGAAGAAUUGAACAAGCUAUGAAGAGAGGAAAGAUUGAAGGAUCUGCCAUGGAUUCCAGAGCAAUGAUGAGAGUUGAAUCAGGAGAUGACUUUGACGGUGUGAACCCUUAAUUAUGUGGUAUAGCCAGGUCUCACGGUAGCAUCAAUUGCUCAAAUGUCUUUGCCAAGAUGGGACAUUCCUCUGCCGAUUAAGUUUGUCGACCAGCAUCUGCCAGAUUCCAGAAUUUUGCUUGACUCGGACAAAUCCCAUGCAACCACCAAUCUCUAGGUGGUAUAAUCCAAAUAAGAGAUGUGAUGUCAUUGGUGGGGUCGUCAACCAUUUCAAGUGAACAGUUUCAAGAAUUGCAAGAAUUGAGUCUGAAAGUUGGUGAGCAAGAGACAAGUGGAGUCGUGAAGGAGGGUGUCAUUGGCUAUAUUGUUCCCCGAACAACUUCAGAAUGACAUGUGAUCGAAAAUGCUUGCAAAACACAGAUAUUGCCAGAAAAGCUGAUUCAAGAAUGGUGAUGAACAGUCAAUCAUAUUGUUUGGAAUUCUGCAUUUUGUUUUGGGAUCACAUCUCAUCCUUCAACGAAACAUGCCUUGCUUUUGUCUUUUGUUGUUUUGAAAUCAACAGAUGUUUAACAUUUUAUUCUGACAAAAUAUUUUGAUCAAACUCCAACAUGCGAUAAAGGUUAAUCAAUCCGGAAGAUUAAAAGUGUUUUGAUUACAGAAAUGACUCUAUGCUUGAAAAUGACAUGAGGUGACCAAACAAUUUUGAACUCAUACCUUUUGAAACUGAACCACACAUCAUAUAGCUAAGUUUUAGCAGUAUGCAUAAUGACAUGUAGUGGAUUCGUAGUUAUGGACUCGUGAAUCAUGAUUCUUACAAGUCCAAUCAUUACACUGGAUGAGGUCAAAAUUUAUCGGUUCUAACCGACCUUGCUUGAAAUGAGAAAAGGCCAUCUUUGAUAUCCCUUCACUUGCUAAAGUUUAUAUCCCUUGUAAUCCCAUUUUGAGCUUGAUAAAGUAUUUUUUUUAUGAAGAAACCCUGACUAGGAUCACACCCCACACUGGGGGCAGAUGAGAGAUAUAUUGGAGACAUUGAUAUGAUUAAUGAAUAAAAGGGAAGGCUUAGAACAAAAGUCCAAUGAUUGAGAGAGAGCUAGAAGAAGACACAUAGACUGGGGGCAUAUAAGAAAAUUUUGAGGAAGGCUAUGAAAAAAAAAAGAGAAUGAAAAAAGGAAGUUGAAAUUGCCCUCACUUAAAUACAAGUCAAAGAUAAAGGAAGGAGAACGCCUAUCAAGUCUAUGAAGAGCAAAAGAAAUUUCAAUCAAGGAGAGACACAACAAAAGUCAAUACCAGAAAAAGACUAAGGUGUAAACGUAACUUUUGGUUUCUAUUAUAAAGCCUAUGAUGUUAUCAGAUGAUUGAGGUUGAUUAUUCAUCAAGGAAAGGGGGAUUUGGAUUAUGACUUAUGGUAAGAAAAGUCUGAACUUUGAGGUUAACAAGGUUAUAUGUUGUUUCCUUUACAAAGACAAUAAUAGAAAACAAGUUGAUGAAUAAUUGAUGUUGAUCCUAGGUCUUUGAAACCCUUAAACACCUUUUGAGCCUUUGAAAUUCCUUUCUUUCAUAGCCAUGAACCAUAGCCUGCAUUACGUGCUUUUAAAAGCCCUUUUUAAUCAAGCAAGCAAUUUGAAUCGAUAAAUGGCGCUCUCAAAACUUGAAGAGUUUUUCCAUAAGGGUCGUGACUUCAUGAAUUAAGCUACUGGUUAUUAUGCAUGUUGAUAAAAUGAAUGCUAAGAAAAGAAACAACCUUUCUUGAUAAAGCCUGAGCAUCUUGUUUUUGAAAUUCAUAAAAAUGUCACCUCAUCACAGACCAUCAAAAGAUAUACCCAAAAUCAGAGUUUAAAGUGGACACAAAGAACCAUGAAAAAGUCAUUUUAAAUCUUACAACGGGUCAUCUCUGUUUUCAAAAUACAAGACAAUCAAAGGACUGCAUUGAAUAAUAUGUUGGGUCUUUGACCAAAGAAGUUUGAAUUUCAAAAGAAAAAAAUAAUAAUUUCAAAAACAGACAUCUCUCUGAUUUCAUUUCAACAUUUAGACUUGAAUAGACAUGAUCGUUGAAAUGUGAGAUUUGAUUCCAGAACAAGAAAGAUUUUCAAACAAGAACAUUAGUUGAGUUUGCAAAAUCCUCGACAAAAAUGACAUCAAUAUUUCUCGACACUCCUUGAAACGUUGACCACCUUGGGGCAAUACAGUGGGCCCUUAGAAGAAAAGCAAACAAUAUCCAGAUCAGCUGGGGGCAAAGAAAGAAUCACAUGAUGAGUCAUCAAAGUCCACCAAAGUCACUCCUGGCAUUCACAAAAGCCAUUUGUUUGUAAACAGAAGAAUGAGCAUGUUCAGAUCAACUAGGGGCAAUGUUGUUCAAAGACAAUCCAUGAUUUAGUGAACUUCAGCAGCAAUUGAUGAGCAACGCUGCAUUUAAAAGAUAUUUUCACAUCUUCAUCUUGGGUUACCCUGUAAAACAUGGCUAUGACUCCUGACAGAUGUUAUCGGGUGAGUGCAUUUGAAUGAACAUCGAACAUAUGCAUACCACUAAGAUUGACUAUGGGACCAUCUAUUCUAAAGCUCAAAUGCACGCUUCACCGCAUGAAUAUGGGUGAUAACAUGAACAUCAUUGAUGAUGCCAAUACAUUUCUUUUUAAGAUCUGAUUAGAUGGGUGAGAAGAACUUUUUGAGGAAAACAUUGAGCUUACAACGAUGAGCCUUUCCCCUACAAAGAAUGAGAUGCAUGUCGGGAUCACGCGGCAGUUCCAUGAUUAUGGAUGACCACAUAUACUUGAAUGAUGUUUCAACUGGAGGCAAGUUCAUGACUGAUUAACAAUCUUGAUGGGUGUUGGCAUGAUGCAUACAAUCAAUCAAAGGAUAAUUCUCAGAAGAAUCCAAGAGAGAAAAUUCUUCAUGAUGAAUCAAGCAUCACCACACUUGGGGGCAUUGUCAAGCUUGAUGAGCGAUGCGAGCAGUAAUUGUCGAAGACAGCCCGGGAUGGGCACUGCAUUUACAGCUGAGUGGAUGGCUAGCACAUGAAUGAGCCAAUGCAUCGGAAGAACAAAGAAAGCUUUGGGAUGCAAACAAGGGCACCCUAUGACGAUGGAGCAUCAAGGAGGGGGGGACCUAUAUUUCAAAUCAGGUAAGGAUGCAUGCAUAUCAUCUAACCUAAAAAAAAAAAAAAAACCAUUUGCACAUAUUUUUGAAUUGUUACAGGAAAAUCCUUAAUGAGGUCCAGCAAGAUGGUAGAAAGAGAAAGAAGCAUUGUGAUGAUGAUAAUAAAGAAUCGGUUUUGAUCAUGGAAUAAAAGGACAAUGGGAUGAACCCUACCAUUAGAAAAAUCCCAAAGAAAUGAAUAGAUCAACCUUGCAAUCGGGAAGCCUCGAGUUUUCAACCCUUGCAGUCAGGAAACACCGAGUUUUCAAACCCUAUGAUCGGGAAUUAUCAGGAAGCACCAAGUUUUCCAGCCCUUUUUCUGUCAUCCCUUCAGACUUCGCCAGGUAAGUCCUAUUUUUCACACUUGUCAUAUCAUUUUUUCCAUCUGGGUAGGUCGCCCAUCAUAAUAAGACCGUUUUCACAUUUUUCCAUCCGGGUAGGUCACCCAUGACAAUGAGACACACUUCAUCAUAUUUUUUCCAUCUGGAGUAGGUCACCCAUUACAAUGAGACCACACUUCAUUUUUUUUUUCCACGUGGGUAGGUCACCCAUUACAAUGAGACCGCACUUCACAUUUUUUCCAUCUGGGUAGGUCACCCAUUACAAUGAGACCACACUUCGUAUUUUUUUUUUCCACGUGGGUAGGUCACCCAUUACAAUGAGACCGCACUUCACAUUUUUUCCAUCUGGGUAGGUCACUCAUACAAUGAGACCAUCAUUUUUCUUGGGUUCGUCACCCAUACAAUGAGACCAUCAUUUUUCUGGGGUUCGUCACCCAUACAAUGAGACCAUCAUUUUUUUCUUGGGUUUGUCACCCAUACAAUGAGACCAUUUUUCACACAUUCUUUUGUUUUGGUUAAAUGAGGUCGCCAAAUGGGAUCUCGGGUAGCUUUGGUUAAAGGGAAUCGCCAGAUGGGAUUUCAGGUUAACCGAGUUACACAAUAUUUUCGUUCCAGUUGAAUGAGGUCGCCAGAUGGGAUCUCAGGUAAACCCAAUGUGUGGGCAGGUCGCCCGUGAAAAUAGACUAUUGGGAGAGUGUGGGUCGGUCGCCCGUGAAAAUAGACUAGAGUGAGUAUGUGUAGGCAGGUUGCCCAAGAUAUUGAAAUCAUUUUCCUUUUGUUUUCUUUACAAAGCUUACUAUGCAAAAUUUUGAGGAUUUUCGCUUCGUAAGCAUUGUAAAGAGGGGGCAUCUAUUGCUACCCAAUUUUUGACCCAUGUUUUUGAUAUAUUUUCAAAAAAUCCAAAAAUAGAGAAAAACAAUGAAAAUCCAAAAAAUAUGUUUUUUUUUAAUAUAUUUUCGUCCUUUUAGCAUUUUCAACGUCGUCUAAAAAAAAAAAAGAAUUUAAAUUGUUAAAAUAUUUUCAAACGCGUUCGACUUUUCACGCGUCAUUUUUAAAAUCAUUGAUUUUCCGCAUUUGAGUCGACGUUGAUAUUGCUCGUUUUCAAAAAAUACAAAAAAAUAAGAAAAAUCAAAAUUUACAAAAAGAAAGAAGUUGAGGGACCAAGUUGAAAAACUUGGCAAUAUUUUUGCCUAUAAAUACUGGUCUUUAACUCACACAAAGGGGGGCAAUUUUGACAACAUCAAAAACAAAAUACAAAAAAAAACCUAAACCUAAACCUAUCUUUUUUUUUCAAGAGGAGCCGCCCCCCAUUUUUCAAAAAAAAGGAAGAAAACCAUAGCAGCUAAACAAAGACAGCCCCUCCCCACUGGAACGUUUGGAUUUCACCCAGCCGGUUUGAAUUUCUUUUUCCCCUCAGUAGCCGAACAACUCACCCUCUCACUUUCCCUUCCCCCGGCCAAAAAAAACCAGAGAAGCCAGGCAGCCCCUCCCCGUCUCCUUAGUCUUCCUCUCGGCCGAAAUUCCACAAUCAGCAAAACCCCAUUUCCUUCUGCAGCCGCCGGCCCCCACGUUGAUUUUGUUUUCCACACAGCCCUCACCUUCACUCUCCCCUCUCAGCCGUUCCUCUGGACAGCCAUCAACCCGGAACUUUCCCUCUCAGCUGCAGGAGCAAGGGACGAACCGAACGGAGACCAUAACAGCCUCCUCUGCAAUCUUCUUCCUUCACCGGCCAUCGCUGCUCUCUUCUCUUUCCCUCUCUCCCACCAAGACGACCCAGCAGCAGCUCCUCCACCACGCACGGCUGCACCCGCAGCUCCGGCCUCCAGCCUUGAGCCACUCCUCACUCCACAGCAGGUCGGCCACAGAAGAAGAAGGAAGAACAACGGCUGGAAAAUAAAACGGAAGCAGACCCGAACGGUGGAGAAAAUAAAACAGAUCUGGAAAACUAAGAAAAAUUAAAAUCGACUGCUGUGUUGUUCUUUGAUUGAUCUGCAGGUUGGCGCCGGCGAGGAAAGAAGGAGGGAGGAGGUCGUUGCAGACCCCCCUGUUUUCGCCUUGUUUUCACGGGGGCGCGUGGAUCCACGCGCCGCCAGUGGCGGGGGUGCGUGAGAUCCACGCGCCACCACUGCCACUGCUGUCCCAGCGGCUUCGCAACACUGUUCCGACGAGUUAGAGGUUUCCAGCACUGUUCCGGAAUGUUUUGGUUCAUUUUGUAAUUUCCAAAUUGUUUUAAUGUAAUAUUUUAUUUAGUUUUGAGUUUUUUGUAAUUUGUAUUUUGUAAAUAUG
rnacentral:lncRNA from 1 species